UACGUAGGGUGCGAGCGUUGACCGGAUUUAUUGGGCGUAAAGGGCGCGUAGGCGGCUCGGCACGUCCGUUGUGAAAUCGCCCGGCUCAACUGGGCGGGGUCAGUGGAUACGGUCGAGCUUGAGCAAGCUAGGGGGCAAUGGAAUUCCCGGUGUAGUGGUGGAAUGCGCAGAUAUCAGGAGGAACACCGGUGGCGAAGGCGGGUCUCUGGGCCGAGACUGACGCUGAGAAGCGAAAGCGUGGGGAGCGAACAGG
rnacentral:rRNA from 1 species